UAAUCACUUUAAUAUCUGAUAUAUCCUCUAUGUGACGACAAUAUAUUAAAUGGAUCUUUGGAACAGGGAGGUGGAAUAGGAGCUUGCUCCAUCCCCUCUAUGCAGUGACCUGAUAUUGCAGUACCUUGAGAAAUGGUAC
rnacentral:snRNA from 1 species